GUUAGUCGAUCAUCCAGUAAGUGACAAAACCAAGUUUGCUGCUCGAGGAUAAGAGAGGCUAAACUCACCUGACAACAUAUAUAUGCUGCCUAACUGAAAGAUCCGAUUUUUCUGCAUUAUAUUCCAACUGCAUUACAAUUAAGAGGUAGGCUGAAACAUCAUACUAAGCAGGCAAAACAAUCCUACUACCACCCACAAUAUGCAAAUACAAAGCAAGGCACAAGGUAAAAAUAACCGAUGACUUGGCUGCAAUAUAUCUAACCACUUCUAGUCCUUUGUUCACUACCUCAUCAUGAACCUUACAAACACUACUUUUGAAUCCAUCCGUUAUUCUCCACAUCAAAAACGCCACAAAUGACCUCACCGUUUCAAGCGUUACCCUCCCCGUGACAUCAAGCACAAACCUUCGGUUAGCCGGCACCGCUAGCGUUGACUUAAUCUGUUCAAGCCACCCAACAUCCUGAGCCCCCCCAACCGAGCUUCCAAUCCUGACCUGCCGCAGAAAAACCUCCUGUUUCAGGCACCCGUCUUCACUUGCUGGAACAACAACAGAAGACAUAGAUAAACCCGAAUUCAACCUCUCACUCCGGUUAGACAAAACAUGGUGCGAAGUUCUGACAAAGGUCUCAACAGCCCCAUUAACCAUGGAAACUAAAAUCUCCUUCACCUUCUCCUGAUGCCUGGGAUUCGACAACCCCGCAAACAUUUCAUCAUAGGUAUUGACAUUCAUUGUCUUAUCAAGAAAAACAGCAACCGCAGUGCUCACAAAAAUCUGCACACAAUCCCCAAUAAACUUGCCACACCUCUCAUCAUAAAUCGCAUUCACCCAUCUAGGAACCCCCGAUUGAGACCUCUCCCCCGUUGAUUCGGCACCAUAGAAACCCAAAACCAAGUUCCUCGCAAAGCUCCCAACCACAACGGACGCAAAACCCGUCCCAGCCUUCGAGAAUAGCUUCUCUAACACCCUAUCAGAGAAUUUAGAAGCUUCCGCGGUGAUUUCCAAGGAAGCAAUACCGUUAUUAUCAUUACCCGCCCGUGAGUUAUACCCUAACAAAACCCCAAUCGUCACAGCCUCGGAAACCCUAGCCAGCGACGUUGAGAAUUCCUUCGAUUUGGCGAUUUUCGCUAAUUGCUUCAAACUGGUGGGGAUCUCGUCGGAAUCAGAAGCGAGGAAUUGGUGCAAGUCGUUAGAGAUAACGGUGAGGGAGUGUGCAGAAUCGGAAAUUAACUCGGUGACGGUAACGAAGGUUCUGAGGAGCUUGGCAAUACGGUGGCGUUUUUGAGCGACAUAGGGUGAAUUGUAAGCCCUAUAGGCGGCGUAACCGGAGGCACCAAAGAAGGCAAAUAGGAGAAGGUAUUUUCUUUUUCUUGAAGAAAAUUGGGGAGAGUUCCUGAGAAGCGGAAGGUCCAUGAGAGUGAAAACCCUGUGGAUUGUAUCCAAGUGAGAUUGGUUUGUUGGGUAAUGCAGCAGUUGACAGCGGAUAUAUAAUUGACCCCAAAAAUAAGAGGGGAAGAUGCAGGCAGCGAAAACAAAGGAAGAUGGAAAUGAAAUAAAUGCAGUUAGUUAUUGAAAUCUGAAUGGUUGGAGGGAAAAUAACACACCUCUCUGGCAUUAC
rnacentral:sRNA from 1 species